AUAUAAUAUUAAAGGCAAAUUUGCAUCCCAGAAAAGGUCACAGUUGGACUUUUAUUCAUUGAAAAGAACAUUUCAUGUGCGGAGUCGCAGACUUCAGGGAUACCAGAAUAGUAAAAUUGAUAUUGUCAAUAUUUAUGAUCGAUGUAUCCAAAUUUAGAAAAAAAAAUGUUUAUAAAAAUUUAGUACAAGCUGAGAAAAUUGCUACUACUACGUACAGUAUUAGUACAGAUGAGUGUCAGAGAAGGGAGGCGAGGUUCCGAUAUUUGAUACCUAUCUCGGCCCGCAAUAAGUACUCAUCUGUUGAUUAUCGGAUCCAGUUGUUGUUCAUGUCAGUCGCGUCACUGGAUGUUAUAAAAUGAUAGGGAAGCCGAUUUUGUUAGAUAAACACCUUAGAUAAAUUAUAGUAGUGAUGUCGAGCGCACGUGGAUUACGUUUGUUGAAAUCAUUGGAAACAUAUCGCAAAAAACUACCUGAUGUUUAUGAUUGUUCAACAAUUUUGAAUAAGGUAAAUAUAAUAUCAAUGUCUCAAGGAUGUACAAAAAGUUCGUUCACAGUGGAUAAAUCGAUGUGCAACGGUGGGUUUACUUUGCAUGGGGGAUACAUAGCAUCCAUAGUGGAUGUCCUAUCUUUCUAUUCUAUUCUCAGCCACAGAAACGGUAAAAUUUCCUGGACAACUAACUUGAAUGUCGAUUAUUUGAAAUCGGCAGCAAUCGGUCAAAAAGUAACCGUAGAAACAAAACUACAAAUGAAUGGUAACAUUCCUAUAACGGAAACAAGUUUAUUUGACGAAUCCGGCACAGUGUUGGCAAGAGGUACUGCCUCUUUCAAAGCAGGCAAUGAAGAAUUACAAAUUAUGCUCAAAAAGUUAAUUGGUUUCGAUGUGUAUGAAAAUGAAUGUUAAAAAUGAAUGUACCAUUUUGGUGGAAUUUUAAUUUGUCACACUUGCUAUAUACUUAUUAUGGACCGGCUGAAGGACAUGUAUCCAUGGCUAUGAAUAAAUUAAU